rnacentral:lncRNA from 1 species
AGCUUUUCAACAACUUAAUCCGCACCAGAGAAAUCCGAUUUGGCAUAAUUACUCAAGAAUGCUUGAAUUCCAUAAAUAUUUUUCAACAGCUGUCUAGCUGAAUCAAAUAGCUUAGACUUUUAUCAACAACUCGGACUUCAAUCAAAAUAAUUUAGCUAACUUAAUUGACCUUCUUCAUAAUUUAAAAGAAAACCAAAAAUUCUUUUAUGACAUCAUGAUACCGUACUAGAUUAGUAGUACGUUGAGGAUUCCGCUAUUAUGUGACUUUGUCAUACUACACCAUACCAAAAUUGGCUAACGAUCUUUCGAUCACAACCAGCACUAGGUUCAACUGCAUGGAUGACUCCAUCGUUUACCAUACACCAUAUCAAUGAUGCGCAUGGUUAGAAAUACAUUUUGAAAAUUUUCAAAUCAUUUUUGUCUUAGCCGAAAAAAUUGGCAUAGACAUAAGAAUAAAGGUAUUGUUUUUAAACAUCAUUGGUUCAAUCACAAGAUCCAAUGUUUUUCAAGAAAACAGAAGUGCGAAUCAUCAGCACGAAAUCAAUAAACUUUGAAAAUCUAGCAGAGCUAGAAGAUUUAGAAAAUCCAUGUUUCUCCAUCAUCUUCAAUCUUUACUCCAUUGCUUCAUUCUAUC